rnacentral:rRNA from 1 species
UACGUAGGGUGCGAGCGUUGUCCGGAAUUAUUGGGCGUAAAGGGCUCGUAGGCGGUUUGUCACGUCGGGAGUGAAAACUCGGGGCUCAACCCCGAGCCUGCUUCCGAUACGGGCAGACUAGAGGUAUGCAGGGGAGAAUGGAAUUCCUGGUGUAGCGGUGAAAUGCGCAGAUAUCAGGAGGAACACCGGUGGCGAAGGCGGUUCUCUGGGCAUUACCUGACGCUGAGGAGCGAAAGUGUGGGGAGCGAACAGG